AGCCGCUAUUGUUUGUACUGUACCCGUACCGUAAACCGACACAGGUAGGUGAGGAGAGAAUCCUAAGGCCGACGGGAGAAGCAUUGUUAAGGAACUCGGCAAAAUGACUCCGUAACUUCGGGAGAAGGAGUGCCAGUGAGAGCUGGCCGCAGAGAAUUGGCCCAAGCAACUGUUUAGCAAAAACACAGGUCUAUGCAAAACCGUAAGGUGAAGUAUAUGGGCUGACGCCUGCCCGGUGCUGGAAGGUUAAGGGGAGAGGUUAGCGCAAGCGAAGCUUUGAACUUAAGCCCCAGUAAACGGCGGCCGUAACGAUAACGGUCCUAAGGUAGCGAAAUUCCUUGUCGGGUGAGUUCCGACCCGCACGAAAGGCGUAAUGAUUUGGGCACUGUCUCAACAAUGCACCCGGUGAAAUUGAAAUACCAGUGAAGAUGCUGGUUACCUGCGCCAGGACGGAAAGACCCCAUGGAGCUUUACUCCAGCUUGAUACUGGGAUUCGAUAUUGUAUGUACAGGAUAGGUGGGAGGCGAAGAAGCAUUGACGCCAGUUGAUGCGGAGCCGCUGUUGGGAUACCACCCUAGCAGUAUUGGAUUUCUAACCAGCAGCCGUGACCCGGCUGGGGGACAAUGUCAGGUGGGGAGUUUUGACUGGGGCGGUCGCCUCCGAAAGGGUAUCGGAGGCGCUCAAAGGUUCCCUCAGAAUGGUUGGAAACCAUUCGAAGAGUGCAAAGGCAGAAGGGAGCUUGACUGCGACACCGACGGGUGGAGCAGGUACGAGAGUAGGACUUAGUGAUCCGGUGGUAUAAAGUGGGAUUGCCAUCGCUCAACGGAUAAAAGCUACCCUGGGAUAACAGGCUUAUCACUCCCAAGAGUUCACGUCGACGGAGUGGUUUGGCACCUCGAUGUCGGCUCAUCGCAUCCUGGGGCUGAAGUAGGUCCCAAGGGUUGGGCUGUUCGCCCAUUAAAGCGGUACGCGAGCUGGGUUCAGAACGUCGUGAGACAGUUCGGUCCCUAUCCGGCGUGGGCGUAGGAUAUUUGAGAGGAGCUGGCCUUAGUACGAGAGGACCGGGCUGGACUGACCGCUGGUGUAUCUGUUGUUCCGCCAGGAGCAUGGCAGAGUAGCCAAGUCAGGAAGGGAUAAACGCUGAAGGCAUCUAAGCGUGAAGCCCCCCUCAAGAUGAGAUAUCCCAACGAAAGUUGUAAGACCCCUUGAAGACGACAAGGUAGAUAGGGCAGAGGUGGAAGUGCAGUAAUGCAUGGAGCUGACUGUUACUAAUCGGUCGAGGGCAUAACCU
rnacentral:rRNA from 1 species